rnacentral:rRNA from 1 species
ACGCUAGCUACAGGCUUAACACAUGCAAGUCGAGGGGCAGCAUGGUCUUAGCUUGCUAAGACUGAUGGCGACCGGCGCACGGGUGAGUAACACGUAUCCAACCUGCCGUCUACUCUUGGACAGCCUUCUGAAAGGAAGAUUAAUACAAGAUGGCAUCAUGAGUCCGCAUGUUCACAUGAUUAAAGGUAUUCCGGUAGACGAUGGGGAUGCGUUCCAUUAGAUAGUAGGCGGGGUAACGGCCCACCUAGUCUUCGAUGGAUAGGGGUUCUGAGAGGAAGGUCCCCCACAUUGGAACUGAGACACGGUCCAAACUCCUACGGGAGGCAGCAGUGAGGAAUAUUGGUCAAUGGGCGAGAGCCUGAACCAGCCAAGUAGCGUGAAGGAUGACUGCCCUAUGGGUUGUAAACCUCUUUUAUAAAGGAAUAAAGUCGGGUAUGGAUACCCGUUUGCAUGUACUUUAUGAAUAAGGAUCGGCUAACUCCGUGCCAGCAGCCGCGGUAAUACGGAGGAUCCGAGCGUUAUCCGGAUUUAUUGGGUUUAAAGGGAGCGUAGAUGGAUGUUUAAGUCAGUUGUGAAAGUUUGCGGCUCAACCGUAAAAUUGCAGUUGAUACUGGAUAUCUUGAGUGCAGUUGAGGCAGGCGGAAUUCGUGGUGUAGCGGUGAAAUGCUUAGAUAUCACGAAGAACUCCGAUUGCGAAGGCAGCCUGCUAAGCUGCAACUGACAUUGAGGCUCGAAAGUGUGGGUAUCAAACAGGAUUAGAUACCCUGGUAGUCCACACGGUAAACGAUGAAUACUCGCUGUUUGCGAUAUACGGCAAGCGGCCAAGCGAAAGCGUUAAGUAUUCCACCUGGGGAGUACGCCGGCAACGGUGAAACUCAAAGGAAUUGACGGGGGCCCGCACAAGCGGAGGAACAUGUGGUUUAAUUCGAUGAUACGCGAGGAACCUUACCCGGGCUUAAAUUGCAGAUGAAUUACGGUGAAAGCCGUAAGCCGCAAGGCAUCUGUAAAGGUGCUGCAUGGUUGUCGUCAGCUCGUGCCGUGAGGUGUCGGCUUAAGUGCCAUAACGAGCGCAACCCUUGUUGUCAGUUACUAACAGGUUCCGCUGAGGACUCUGACAAGACUGCCAUCGUAAGAUGUGAGGAAGGUGGGGAUGACGUCAAAUCAGCACGGCCCUUACGUCCGGGGCUACACACGUGUUACAAUGGGGGGUACAGAGGGCCGCUACCACGCGAGUGGAUGCCAAUCCCAAAAACCUCUCUCAGUUCGGACUGGAGUCUGCAACCCGACUCCACGAAGCUGGAUUCGCUAGUAAUCGCGCAUCAGCCACGGCGCGGUGAAUACGUUCCCGGGCCUUGUACACACCGCCCGUCAAGCCAUGGGAGCCGGGGGUACCUGAAGUGCGUAACCGCGAGGAGCGCCCUAGGGUAAAACUGGUGACUGG